rnacentral:rRNA from 1 species
UUAGUCGUAAACUUAAAUAGUCCUUAAAACAAGACUAUUCGCCAGAGUACUACCGGCAACAGCCCGAAACUCAAAGGACUUGGCGGUGUUUCAUAUCCCUCUAGAGGAGCCUGUUCUAUAAACGAUAAACCCCGAUCAACCUCACCAAUCCUUGCUACUUCAGUCUAUAUACCGCCAUCUUCAGCAAACCCUAAAAGGGAACGAAAGUAAGCACAACUAUCGCACGUAAAAACGUUAGGUCAAGGUGUAACCUAUGGGUUGGGAAGAAAUGGGCUACAUUUUCUGUAACAAGAACACCCCUUAAGUCUAUACGAAAGUUUUUAUGAAAACUAAAAACCAAAGGAGGAUUUAGCAGUAAAUUAAGAAUAGAAUGCUUAAUUGAAUAAGGCCAUGAAACACGCACACACCGCCCGUCA